rnacentral:ncRNA from 1 species
AUGCUAGGGGUGCUGAUUAGCUGAGAGAUGCACUGCAUCGACCCUCAUUACUUGAACCGGGUAAUACCGGCGUAAGGAAGCGUUUU